rnacentral:rRNA from 1 species
GCCCAGACUCCUACGGGAGGCAGCAGUGAGGAAUAUUGGUCAAUGGACGGAAGUCUGAACCAGCCAUGCCGCGUGCAGGAAGACGGCUCUAUGAGUUGUAAACUGCUUUUGUACAAGGGUAAACCUGAAUACGUGUAUUCAGCUGAAAGUACUGUACGAAUAAGGAUCGGCUAACUCCGUGCCAGCAGCCGCGGUAAUACGGAGGAUCCAAGCGUUAUCCGGAUUUAUUGGGUUUAAAGGGUGCGUAGGCGGUCCGUUAAGUCAGCGGUAAAAUUGCGGGGCUCAACCCCGGCGAGCCGUUGAAACUGGCAGACUUGAGUUGGCGAGAAGUACGCGGAAUGCGCGGUGUAGCGGUGAAAUGCAUAGAUAUCGCGCAGAACUCCGAUUGCGAAGGCAGCGUACCGGCGCCAGACUGACGCUGAGGCACGAAAGCGUGGGGAUCGAACAGGAUUAGAUACCCGAGUAUC